rnacentral:rRNA from 1 species
AGAGUUUGAUCCUGGCUCAGAUUGAACGCUGGCGGAAUGCUUUACACAUGCAAGUCGAACGGCAGCACGGGAGCUUGCUCCUGGUGGCGAGUGGCGAACGGGUGAGUAAUGCGUCGGAACGUACCGAGUAAUGGGGGAUAACGCACCGAAAGGUGUGCUAAUACCGCAUACGCCCCGAGGGGGAAAGCAGGGGAUCGUAAGACCUUGCGUUAUUCGAGCGGCCGACGUCUGAUUAGCUAGUUGGUGGGGUAAAGGCCUACCAAGGCGACGAUCAGUAGCGGGUCUGAGAGGAUGAUCCGCCACACUGGGACUGAGACACGGCCCAGACUCCUACGGGAGGCAGCAGUGGGGAAUUUUGGACAAUGGGGGAAACCCUGAUCCAGCCAUUCCGCGUGAGUGAAGAAGGCCUUCGGGUUGUAAAGCUCUUUCAGCCGGAACGAAACGGUACGCUCUAACAUAGCGUGCUAAUGACGGUACCGGCAGAAGAAGCACCGGCUAACUACGUGCCAGCAGCCGCGGUAAUACGUAGGGUGCGAGCGUUAAUCGGAAUUACUGGGCGUAAAGCGUGCGCAGGCGGAUUGUUAAGCAAGAUGUGAAAUCCCCGGGCUUAACCUGGGAAUGGCAUUUUGAACUGGCAGUCUAGAGUGUGUCAGAGGGGGGUGGAAUUCCACGUGUAGCAGUGAAAUGCGUAGAUAUGUGGAGGAACACCAAUGGCGAAGGCAGCCCCCUGGGAUAACACUGACGCUCAUGUACGAAAGCGUGGGUAGCAAACAGGAUUAGAUACCCUGGUAGUC